UGAUCCCUAGCUUGCUGGGGGGAUUAGUGGCGAACGGGUGAGUAACACGUGAGUAACCUGCCCUUGACUCUGGGAUAAGCCUGGGAAACUGGGUCUAAUACUGGAUAUGACCGACUAUCGCAUGGUGGUUGGUGGAAAGCUUUUGUGGUUUUGGAUGGACUCGCGGCCUAUCAGCUUGUUGGUGGGGUAAUGGCCUACCAAGGCGACGACGGGUAGCCGGCCUGAGAGGGUGGACGGCCACACUGGGACUGAGACACGGCCCAGACUCCUACGGGAGGCAGCAGUGGGGAAUAUUGCACAAUGGGCGCAAGCCUGAUGCAGCGACGCCGCGUGAGGGAUGAAGGCCUUCGGGUUGUAAACCUCUUUCAGUAGGGAAGAAGCGAAAGUGACGGUACCUGCAGAAGAAGCGCCGGCUAACUACGUGCCAGCAGCCGCGGUAAUACGUA
rnacentral:rRNA from 1 species